GACCUUGUGGCCUAACGGAUAAGGUGUCUGACUUCGGAUCAGAAGAUUGCAGGUUCGAGUCCUGCCAGGGUUG
rnacentral:tRNA from 1 species